rnacentral:rRNA from 1 species
CGUAGGUGGCAAGCGUUGUCCGGAUUUAUUGGGUUUAAAGGGUGCGUAGGCGGUCUUGUAAGUCAGUGGUGAAAUUCGGCAGCUUAACUGUCGAGGUGCCAUUGAUACUGCAGGACUUGAGUACAGACGAGGUAGGCGGAAUUGACGGUGUAGCGGUGAAAUGCUUAGAUAUCGUCAAGAACACCGAUAGCGAAGGCAGCUUACUAGACUGUAACUGACGCUGAUGCACGAAAGUGUGGGGAUCAAACAGGAUUAGAUACCCUGGUAGUCCACACUGUAAACGAUGAUUACUCGAUGUUGGCGAUACACAGCCAGCGUCUUAGCGAAAGCGAUAAGUAAUCCACCUGGGGAGUACGCCGGCAACGGUG